AGCGAACGCUGGCGGCAGGCCUAACGCAUGCAAGUCGAGCGCCCCGCAAGGGGAGCGGCAGACGGGAGAGUAACACGUGGGAACGUACCCUUCAGUUCGGAACAACCAAGGGAAACUUUGGCUAAUACCGAAUACGUCCGUAAGGAGAAAGAUUUAUCGCUGAAGGAUCGGCCCGCGUCUGAUUAGCUAGUUGGUGGGGUAACGGCCCACCAAGGCGACGAUCAGUAGCUGGUCUGAGAGAAUGAUCAGCCUCACUGGGACUGAGACACGGCCCAGACUCCUACGAGAGGCAGCAGUGGGGAAUAUUGGACAAUGGGCGCAAGCCUGAUCCAGCCAUGCCGCGUGGAUGAUGAAGGCCCUAGGGUUGUAAAGUCCUUUCGGCGGGGUAGAUAAUGACGGUACCCGCAGAAGAAGCCCCGGCUAACUUCGUGCCAGCCGCCGCCGUAA
rnacentral:rRNA from 1 species